rnacentral:rRNA from 1 species
UACGUAGGGGGCAAGCGUUGUCCGGAAUCAUUGGGCGUAAAGCGCGCGUAGGCGGCCCGGUAAGUCCGCUGUGAAAGUCAAAGGCUCAACCUUUGAAUGUCAGCGGAUACUGCCGGGCUAGAGUCCGGAAGAGGCGAGUGGAACUCCUGGUGUAGCGGUGGAAUGCGCAGAUAUCAGGAAGAACACCAACGGCGAAGGCAGCUCGCUGGGACGGAACUGACGCUGAGGCGCGAAAGCGUGGGGAGCGAACCGG